UACGUAGGUGGCAAGCGUUGUCCGGAUUUACUGGGCGUAAAGAGCGCGCAGGCGGUCGUUCAAGUCGCGUGUGAAAGCCCCCGGCUCAACUGGGGAGGGUCACGCGAUACUGAUCGACUCGAAGGCAGGAGAGGGUAGUGGAAUUCCCGGUGUAGUGGUGAAAUGCGUAGAUAUGCGGAGGAACACCGAUGGCGAAGGCAAUCCCCUGGGCCUGCACUGACGCUCAUGCACGAAAGCGUGGGGAGCAAACAGG
rnacentral:rRNA from 1 species